rnacentral:rRNA from 1 species
GCCUAAUACAUGCAAGUCGAGCGAACAGAAGGGAGCUUGCUCCCGGAUGUUAGCGGCGGACGGGUGAGUAACACGUGGGUAACCUGCCUGUAAGACUGGGAUAACUCCGGGAAACCGGAGCUAAUACCGGAUAGUUCCUUGAACCGCAUGGUUCAAGGAUGAAAGACGGUUUCGGCUGUCACUUACAGAUGGACCCGCGGCGCAUUAGCUAGUUGGUGGGGUAAUGGCUCACCAAGGCGACGAUGCGUAGCCGACCUGAGAGGGUGAUCGGCCACACUGGGACUGAGACACGGCCCAGACUCCUACGGGAGGCAGCAGUAGGGAAUCUUCCGCAAUGGACGAAAGUCUGACGGAGCAACGCCGCGUGAGUGAUGAAGGUUUUCGGAUCGUAAAGCUCUGUUGUUAGGGAAGAACAAGUGCGAGAGUAACUGCUCGCACCUUGACGGUACCUAACCAGAAAGCCACGGCUAACUACGUGCCAGCAGCCGCGGUAAUACGUAGGUGGCAAGCGUUGUCCGGAAUUAUUGGGCGUAAAGGGCUCGCAGGCGGUUUCUUAAGUCUGAUGUGAAAGCCCCCGGCUCAACCGGGGAGGGUCAUUGGAAACUGGGAAACUUGAGUGCAGAAGAGGAGAGUGGAAUUCCACGUGUAGCGGUGAAAUGCGUAGAGAUGUGGAGGAACACCAGUGGCGAAGGCGACUCUCUGGUCUGUAACUGACGCUGAGGAGCGAAAGCGUGGGGAGCGAACAGGAUUAGAU